UACGUAGGGACCAAGCGUUGUUCGGAUUUACUGGGCGUAAAGGGCGCGUAGGCGGCGCGGUAAGUCACUUGUGAAAUCCCUGAGCUUAACUCAGAACGGCCAAGUGAUACUGCAGUGCUAGAGUGUGGAAGGGGCAAUCGGAAUUCUUGGUGUAGCGGUGAAAUGCGUAGAUAUCAAGAGGAACACCUGAGGUGAAGACGGGUUGCUGGGCCAACACUGACGCUGAUGCGCGAAAGCCAGGGGAGCAAACGGG
rnacentral:rRNA from 1 species